GCCUGCCCAGUGACCAUGUUUAACGGCCGCGGUAUCCUAACCGUGCAAAGGUAGCGUAAUCACUUGUUCUCUAAAUGCGGACUAGUAUGAACGGCAUCACGAAGGUUAUACUGUCUCCUUUUUCUAAUCAAUGAAACUAAUCUUCCCGUGAAGAAGCGGGAAUAAAGCUAUAAGACGAGAAGACCCUAUGGAGCUUUAAACAACAUAGCACAUGCCUUACGAUAAGAAAAUUUCUGAAUCUCUUACCUUCCAAGCAACAUGACUAUAAGUUUUUGGUUGGGGUGACCACGGAGCAAAAUUUAACCUCCAUGACGAAAUAGCUAAGAAUUACCCUUCUAAGCAUAAAACAUUGACACCAAUUGACCCAAGACACUUGAACAACGAACCAAGUUACCCUAGGGAUAACAGCGCA
rnacentral:rRNA from 1 species